CCUACGGGAGGCAGCAGUCGGGAAUAUUGCGCAAUGGAGGAAACUCUGACGCAGUGACGCCGCGUGCAGGAAGAAGGUUUUCGGAUUGUAAACUGCUUUAGACAGGGAAGAAAAUGACGGUACCUGAGUAAGAAGCCCCGGCUAACUACGUGCCAGCAGCCGCGGUAAUACGUAGGGGGCAAGCGUUAUCCGGAUUUACUGGGUGUAAGGGGAGCGUAGACGGCAGUGCAAGUAUGGAGUGAAAGGCGGGGGCUCAACCCCCGGACUGCUCUGGAAACUGUACGGCUGGAGUGCAGGAGAGGUAGGGGGAAUUCCGAGGGGAGAGGGGAAGGGCGUAGAUAUGAGGAGGAAGACCAGUGGAGAAGGCGGCUUACUGGACGGAAACUGACGUUGAGGCGCGAAAGCGGGGGGAGCAAACAGGAUGAGAUACCCGAGUAGUC
rnacentral:rRNA from 1 species